rnacentral:rRNA from 1 species
AUUACCUCAGUAACGGCGAGUGAAGCGGUAACAGCUCAAAUUUGAAAUCUGGCGCUUUCAGCGUCCGAGUUGUAAUUUGUAGAAGAUGCUUUGGGUGUGGCUCCGGUCUAAGUUCCUUGGAACAGGACGUCAUGGAGGGUGAGAAUCCCGUAUGUGACUGGCUGCCUUCGCCCGUGUAAAGCUUUUUCGACGAGUCGAGUUGUUUGGGAAUGCAGCUCUAAAUGGGAGGUAUAUUUCUUCUAAAGCUAAAUAUUGGCCAGAGACCGAUAGCGCACAAGUAGAGUGAUCGAAAGAUGAAAAGCACUUUGGAAAGAGAGUUAAACAGUACGUGAAAUUGUUGAAAGGGAAGCGCUUGCAACCAGACUUGCCUGCGGUCGAUCAUCCUGGGUUCUCCCUGGUGCACUCGAUCGUGGUCAGGCCAGCAUCGGUUUCGGUGGUGGGAUAAAGGCCUUGGGAAUGUAGCAGUCUUCGGGCUGUGUUAUAGCCCUCGGUGCAAUGCCGCCUACCGGGACCGAGGACCGCGCUUCGGCUAGGAUGCUGGCGUAAUGGUUGUAAGCGACCCGUCUUGAAACACGGACCAAGGAGUCUAACAUCUAUGCGAGUGUUUGGGUGUUAAACCCAUACGCGUAAUUAACGUGAACGGAGGUGAGAACCCUUAAGGGUGCAUCAUCGACCGAUCCUGAUGUCUUCGGAUGGAUUUGAGUAAGAGCAUAGCUGUUGGGACCCGAAAGAUGGUGAACUAUGCCUAAAUAGGGUGAAGCCAGAGGAAACUCUGGUGGAGGCUCGCAGCGGUUCUGACGUGCAAAUCGAUCGUCAAAUUUGGGUAUAGGGGCGAAAGACUAAUCGAA